AUUUUGAGGCGAGAUAGGAGCCUUUUAUUGAUGCCCACAAGCAUGAAGAUUCCAGCAUGCACAGACGCAUAAGUUAUCAUGUUUUACGCUUUUUGCAUUAGUUUCCGCCUCGGUUCGCGGCGGAGGAGGUCUCCGUGUGAACGUGGAGAUCAACUUCGACACCAGAUGCAGUGUUUCGAAAGACGGCUGACGCCACACCACCAUUUUCAUGAAGUUCCAGGGUGACACGGCGUCAUGUGAUAAAAACCUGGCCUUCAACAUCAGCUGGUACCUGCGCUCCUCUGUCUGCUACAACGAGGUCUUCAACACGCCGGACAACAAGGCGAUGAACAUGUUCGACAUGGAUCACAUGUUGAAGGAGGACUGGAGCGGCUUCUACAGCCACGGCUACAUGUACUUCGAGAACUGCUCCUCCCUCUUCUUACCAAAG